AAGUCUUUGUCAGCCACGCAUUAGAGGUUAGUGAAUGAAGUGUUGAAGACGAGAAGAAGAACGUAGUGAGGGCAACAAAGAAGGUGCCGGCCUUGCCAACUUAGACAACAAAGACGAAGCUACCAUUAAGUUCCUUGAUGACCUAAUCUACGGGAUUAGGUACCCUUUCUUGUAGGGUACGGUAGGCUUUGUUGACGAGCAUGACCUCAUUGGUGUUCUUUAGAGGAUAGGAUUGAUCUUCUCUCAAUGCGAACUUUAUCGUAACAGGUUACCUUUUGAACCGCAAGUUGUAAUGUGCGUCAGCUGAAGCAGAACAAAUGGUCUUUAUUGGGUUAUUUUAUUUAAUGGUUUGAAUACGUCUUUAUGUUAGUACUUGGGUUAGUUAUGUUAGUAGUGGAGUGGCUGCAAGGAGUAAAAGCCCUAGGAGAAAUCUAAGAAGAAAAGAAGAUGGAGAGCCUGUCUCUAUAUUUUGACAAGAAGGACUGACGUUCUGGAAAAGGGAAGACCCUUCUAAUCUGCGGUUCCUUUUAUUCUCUUUGCGUUGUUCUGAAGAAAAGUUUCUCAUAUUUUAUUUUGCAGCUGGACCCUGCGCAUUGGCUUCAUUCCCACACCGACUCAUUUCUGAAAUCGACCUAGAAAUCACUGAGUAAAGAAGGCAUUCUCUUUGGUUCUGUUCUCUUCUCCCUCAUGCUAUGCUGCUUCAGUAUCUUCCCCUUCUCUAUUUCACUCAUCUCUCACUCUCCACAUGACAGUUUUGGUUCUUAUUGACCUUUUAGAAAUGCCAUUUUUACUCAGUUCCAUAAAUUCUGUUUUAAUCAUGCAUAAUUCAUUGGGGAGCUUGCCAUAGAUUCUUUGGCUGCUAUUGGCUUUAUGGAUCCUAGACUGGAUAAAGCUUCUUGAAGUUCUUCCCUCGCUUGCUUCGCAUUCGGUGAUGAUACCACUUAUUGUUUAGACUAUUUUACCAAUGCUUCAUAAAGAAGCAAAACCAUAUGUUCUCCGUCCAUUUUGUUUCUGAUGGGCAAUAGUCCAUGUGUAAUGAAUAAAGUAUAUUGUUUUUUCUGUAGUAGUCAUACUAUUCCUUUUUUAAGUUUUUUAACCUUUCUCCUGA